CAGCCGCCACGGUAAUACGAAGGGGGCUAGCGUUGCUCGGAAUGACUGGGCGUAAAGGGCGCGUAGGCGGCGAUCAAAGUCAGGCGUGAAAUUCCUGGGCUCAACCUGGGGGCUGCGCUUGAUACUUGGUUGCUUGAGUGGGGAAGAGGGUCGUGGAAUUCCCAGUGUAGAGGUGAGAUUCGUAGAUAUUGGGAAGAACACCGGUGGCGAAGGCGGCGACCUGGUCCUUGACUGACGCUGAGGCGCGAAAGCGUGGGGAGCAAACAGGAUUAGAUACCCCUGUAGUCCCUGUCUCUUAUAC
rnacentral:rRNA from 1 species